rnacentral:misc_RNA from 1 species
GUUUUGCUUACCCAUUUAAGCGCUAAUAUGGACUGGGUGGAGGAAGUCUCUGUUGCCGAGGGUGAAAGAGGCUGCAACCCAAAGAUUUGAAAGGUCAAUCACGCUUGUGCCGCCGCCUGGCUAAAAGAGAACGUGAUGCCGAAGGGCUCUACUCCUCAUUGGCUUCUUCCCCUUCAGCUGGAAUGAUUUUUCUUGGCCCCUCGGCAUUACUGCUCUUCAUUAUUUUUAGUUUUCCUUGUUUGACUUGUGUUGUUUGAUUGAAUGAGACUCUUCUUCUAUCAAUUUUCUUCUCGAUCGGACAACUCUAGGCAAGACCUCUGUAAUGGGUUCUAUACUUAUAGUUAGUGUGCCCUAUAGCUGCUAGGUCUGGGCUUUCAUUGUAAUUCUUGUUUAGGGCCUCUAACAGCUUGCAGAUCCCUGUAAGGCCA